rnacentral:rRNA from 1 species
CGGGUGAGUAACACGUAUGCAAUCCACCUGUAACAGGGGGAUAACCCGGAGAAAUCCGGACUAAUACCCCAUAAUAUGGGCGCUCCGCAUGGAGAGCCCAUUAAAGAGAGCAAUCUUGGUUACAGACGAGCAUGCGCUCCAUUAGCCAGUUGGCGGGGUAACGGCCCACCAAAGCGACGAUGGAUAGGGGUUCUGAGAGGAAGGUCCCCCACAUUGGAACUGAGACACGGUCCAG